UACGAAGGGGGCUAGCGUUGUUCGGAAUUACUGGGCGUAAAGCGCGUGUAGGUGGUUGUCCAAGUUGGAUGUGAGAGCCUUGAGCUCAACUCAAGAAAUGCAUUCAGGACUGGGCGGCUAGAGGACCGGAGAGGAUAGUGGAAUUCCCAGUGUAGUGGUGAAAUACGUAGAGAUUGGGAAGAACACCAGUGGCGAAGGCGGCUAUCUGGACGGUUUCUGACACUAAGACUCGAAAGCGUGGGGAGCAAACAGG
rnacentral:rRNA from 1 species